rnacentral:rRNA from 1 species
AGUGAACGCUGGCGGUAGGCCUAACACAUGCAAGUCGAACGGCAGCACAGUAAGAUCUUGCUCUUACGGGUGGCGAGUGGCGGAUGGGUGAGGAAUACAUCGGAAUCUACUUUUUCGUGGGGGAUAACGUAGGGAAACUUACGCUAAUACCGCAUACGACCUACGGGUGAAAGCAGUGGAUCUUCGGACCUUGCGCGAUUGAAUGAGCCGGUGUCGGAUUAGCUAGUUGGCGGGGUAAAGGCCCACCAAGGCGACGAUCCGUAGCUGGUCUGAGAGGAUGAUCGGCCACACUGGAACUGAGACACGGUCCAGACUCCUACGGGAGGCAGCAGUGGGGAAUAUUGGACAAUGGGCGCAAGCCUGAUCCAGCCAUACCGCGUGGGUGAAGAAGGCCUUCGGGUUGUAAAGCCCUUUUGUUGGGAAAGAAAAGCAGCAGGUUAAUACCCCGCUGUUCUGACGGUACCCAAAGAAUAAGCACCGGCUAACUUCGUG